rnacentral:rRNA from 1 species
GUCUAAUACCGGAUACUGACCUGCCAAGGCAUCUUGGCGGGUCGAAAGCUCCGGCGGUGCAGGAUGAGCCCGCGGCCUAUCAGCUUGUUGGUGAGGUAAUGGCUCACCAAGGCGACGACGGGUAGCCGGCCUGAGAGGGCGACCGGCCACACUGGGACUGAGACACGGCCCAGACUCCUACGGGAGGCAGCAGUGGGGAAUAUUGCACAAUGGGCGCAAGCCUGAUGCAGCGACGCCGCGUGAGGGAUGACGGCCUUCGGGUUGUAAACCUCUUUCAGCAGGGAAGAAGCGAAAGUGACGGUACCUGCAGAAGAAGCGCCGGCUAACUACGUGCCAGCAGCCGCGGUAAUACGUAGGGCGCAAGCGUUGUCCGGAAUUAUUGGGCGUAAAGAGCUCGUAGGCGGCUUGUCGCGUCGGUUGUGAAAGCCCGGGGCUUAACCCCGGGUCUGCAGUCGAUACGGGCAGGCUAGAGUUCGGUAGGGGAGAUCGGAAUUCCUGGUGUAGCGGUGAAAUGCGCAGAUAUCAGGAGGAACACCGGUGGCGAAGGCGGAUCUCUGGGCCGAUACUGACGCUGAGGAGCGAAAGCGUGGGGAGCGAACAGGAUUAGAUACCCUGGUAGUCCACGCCGUAACGGUGGGCACUAGGUGUGGGCAACAUUCCACGUUGUCCGUGCCGCAGCUAACGCAUUAAGUGCCCCGCCUGGGGAGUACGGCCGCAAGGCUAAAACUCAAAGGAAUUGAC